GACAGAGGGUGCAAACGUUGUUCGGAUUUACUGGGCGUAAAGCGCGUGUAGGCGGCUUGGCAAGUCGGAUGUGAAAGCCCACGGCUCAACCGUGGAAGCGCAUCCGAAACGGCCUCGCUCGAGUCUCGGAGAGGAAGGUGGAAUGCUUGGUGUAGAGGUGAAAUUCGUAGAUAUCAAGCAGAACACCUGCGGCGAAGGCGGCUUUCUGGACGAUGACUGACGCUGAGACGCGAAAGCGUGGGGAGCAAACAGG
rnacentral:rRNA from 1 species